rnacentral:rRNA from 1 species
GACGAACGCUGGCGGCGCGCCUAACACAUGCAAGUCGAACGAGCGAGAGAGAGCUUGCUUUCUCGAGCGAGUGGCGAACGGGUGAGUAACGCGUGAGGAACCUGCCUCAAAGAGGGGGACAACAGUUGGAAACGACUGCUAAUACCGCAUAAGCCCAUGACCCGGCAUCGGGUAGAGGGAAAAGGAGCAAUCCGCUUUGAGAUGGCCUCGCGUCCGAUUAGCUAGUUGGUGAGGUAACGGCCCACCAAGGCGACGAUCGGUAGCCGGACUGAGAGGUUGAACGGCCACAUUGGGACUGAGACACGGCCCAGACUCCUACGGGAGGCAGCAGUGGGGAAUAUUGCACAAUGGGGGAAACCCUGAUGCAGCGACGCCGCGUGGAGGAAGAAGGUCUUCGGAUUGUAAACUCCUGUUGUUGAGGAAGAUAAUGACG